CUGGCCUGCCCAGUGAUGAAUUUAACGGCCGCGGUAUAUUGACCGUGCAAAGGUAGCAUAAUCAUUAGUCUUUUAAUAGAGGGCUGGAAUGAAAGGUUUAACGAGGAACUGACUGUCUCAUUUUAUUUGUUUUAAAAUUUAAUUUUUUAGUUAAAAAGCUAAAAUUUCAUUGGAAGACGAGAAGACCCUAUAGAUCUUUAUAGAAAUAUAUUUAAUUAUUAUUAUAUAAAUAUAAUUAUUUAUAUUUCUAUUUUGUUGGGGUGACAAAAAUAUAAAUACAACUUUUUUAUUUAUUUAACAUUGAUUUAUGAGUAUAUGAUCCAUUAUUAGUGAUUAUUAGAUUAAGUUACCUUAGGGAUAACAGCGUAAUCCUCCUCCAGAGUUCAUAUUUACAGGAUGGGCUUGCGACCUCGAUGUUGGAUUAAGAUAAUAAUCAGGUGUAGCCGCUUGAUAUAUAGGUCUGUUCGACCUUUAA
rnacentral:rRNA from 1 species